rnacentral:rRNA from 1 species
GGGGGGACGGAGAAGGCUAUGUUGGCCGGGCGACGGUUGUCCCGGUUUAAGCGUGUAGGUGUGUGUUCCAGGUAAAUCCGGUUCACUUUAACACUGAGGCGUGACGACGAGGCACUACGGUGCUGAAGCAACAAAUGCCCUGCUUCCAGGAAAAGCCUCUAAGCAUCAGGUAACAUCAAAUCGUACCCCAAACCGACACAGGUGGUCAGGUAGAGAAUACCAAGGCGCUUGAGAGAACUCGGGUGAAGGAACUAGGCAAAAUGGUGCCGUAACUUCGGGAGAAGGCACGCUGACACGUAGGUGAAGUGAUUUACUCAUGGAGCUGAAGUCAGUCGAAGAUACCAGCUGGCUGCAACUGUUUAUUAAAAACACAGCACUGUGCAAACACGAAAGUGGACGUAUACGGUGUGACGCCUGCCCGGUGCCGGAAGGUUAAUUGAUGGGGUCAGCGCAAGCGAAGCUCCUGAUCGAAGCCCCGGUAAACGGCGGCCGUAACUAUAACGGUCCUAAGGUAGCGAAAUUCCUUGUCGGGUAAGUUCCGACCUGCACGAAUGGCGUAAUGAUGGCCAGGCUGUCUCCACCCGAGACUCAGUGAAAUUGAACUCGCUGUGAAGAUGCAGUGUACCCGCGGCAAGACGGAAAGACCCCGUGAACCUUUACUAUAGCUUGACACUGAACAUUGAGCCUUGAUGUGUAGGAUAGGUGGGAGGCUUUGAAGUGUGGACGCCAGUCUGCAUGGAGCCGACCUUGAAAUACCACCCUUUAAUGUUUGAUGUUCUAACGUGGACCCGUUACCCGGGUUGCGGACAGUGUCUGGNNNNNNNNNNNNNNNNNNNNGGGUAGUUUGACUGGGGCGGUCUCCUCCUAAAGAGUAACGGAGGAGCACGAAGGUUGGCUAAUCCUGGUCGGACAUCAGGAGGUUAGUGCAAUGGCAUAAGCCAGCUUGACUGCGAGCGUGACGGCGCGAGCAGGUGCGAAAGCAGGUCAUAGUGAUCCGGUGGUUCUGAAUGGAAGGGCCAUCGCUCAACGGAUAAAAGGUACUCCGGGGAUAACAGGCUGAUACCGCCCAAGAGUUCAUAUCGACGGCGGUGUUUGGCACCUCGAUGUCGGCUCAUCACAUCCUGGGGCUGAAGUAGGUCCCAAGGGUAUGGCUGUUCGCCAUUUAAAGUGGUACGCGAGCUGGGUUUAGAACGUCGUGAGACAGUUCGGUCCCUAUCUGCCGUGGGCGCUGGAGAACUGAGGGGGGCUGCUCCUAGUACGAGAGGACCGGAGUGGACGCAUCACUGGUGUUCGGGUUGUCAUGCCAAUGGCACUGCCCGGUAGCUAAAUGCGGAAGAGAUAAGUGCUGAAAGCAUCUAAGCACGAAACUUGCCCCGAGAUGAGUUCUCCCUGAGACUUUAGGUCUCCUGAAGGAACGUUGAAGACGACGACGUUGAUAGGCCGGGUGUGUAAGCGCAGCGAUGCGUUGAGCUAACCGGUACUAAUGAACCGUGAGGCUUAACCUUACAACGCCGAAGAUGUUUUGGCGGAUGAGAGACGAUUUUCAGCACUGAUU